rnacentral:rRNA from 1 species
UGGACCCGCAAUAGGUCGACCCGGGGGAUUCAACCAGGCCGUUGGUCACGGGACGCGUGGGGGACACGCCGAGCUGUCGAAGCCGGUGCCUUCGCGCGGUCUCCGGGCGGACUGGUGCACUUUCCUCGGGUCGAUUGCCACGACCGGCUCUCCGUGCGGCCAUAAGCCUGUCGCUGGGAAGGUGACCGUGGACCUCCGCGUCGGCGGUGUUAUAGCCCAGCCAGCGUGUUGCGCUCGUCGGAGGGCCGAGGAAGUGUUGCCGCCUCUCAAUCUCCCUCCGGCCAUCCUUGCUCGUCACGACUGGGGCGGACUGCUUCGUCAGUGCUCUCCCGACCGCGAGCGUAGGAAGGGUCGGUACGGUGCGAGAGAUAGCUUCGGGCCAGUGGCGAAUCGGUCGGUCCUCCACCCGACCCGUCUUG